UAGGACCAGUUCCGGAGUGCAGUUCCCAGCAAGAACGACGGCAGAAGGUGAGUGCCCACCGCAUUUCCAAACAAAUUUUCACUGCCGACAGACCAGGAGAUUCUCAGGCCGAAAAGCAUCAUGAGUUUUCAGCACGGAAGUUUCCGCUGGUGCUGUGUAGGCGCACAGAAACCCACACAAAUCUGGGAGGCCGUUUCGAUGGGUGCCUGGAAGGCCUGGGAGACGCCCAUUUAACUGAAAGGGAGGGGGCAGAGACAGGGAGCCAGGCGAUCUGGCUAGUCGGGUACCACCCCCCAAAACAAGCAAUCUGAAAAGCUCUGGGUUGGGAGUUUCGCAGCAAGCACAGCUGGACCCAGGACAGUCCAGCUCAGUGGGGGGAAGGGCGACCACCACUACCGAGGUAGUCCGACUUCACCAAGGCAGAUCACACACAGCUGGGCACAGCCUGCGGCAGCUCAGCAGCGCCUCUGCUGGCAGACUGUGACUAGACUACUCCGUGUGAGGCAGGGCACCUAUUUAAAAAGGCAACGGCUCCACAGGAACGUAUAAAGAAAGCUGACCUUCCUAAGACAGAGCACCUGGGAAAAGAGGCGGUUAUGAGUUCUGCUGCAGCAGACUUAAAGGCACCUGCCCAGCAACUGUGCACGGAACAAUGGAGUUCCCAGUACAGCACUUGAGCUCCCUUAAGGGAUAGACUGUCUCCUCAAGCAGCUCCCUGACAACCCCUAUAUACCCAAAGAGACACCUCAUAAAGGAGAGCUCAGGCCGACAUCUGACAGAUACCCUUCUGGGACGAAGAUAACAGAAGAAACCGGCAGCAACUCUUACUGUUCUGCAGCCCCCGCAGGUGGUUAUUGCUAUAAACAUCCUUCCUAGGAUCACUUUUGCUGUGCCUCAUAUAUUUUGGCUCAUAGGCAGAAGGAACUUGACUUAUCUCAGAUGAGACUUUGGACUAUGGACAUUUAAGUUAAUGACAGAAUGAGCAUUUCUGCUACACACGUAAAUUAAGUAACCGCCUGUCAACUGAAGUCAUUCCCAACUGAGAGAAAAAAAGAAAAAACAAAUGGAGAAGUUGCCAUAUGUGAAUUUGCACAUAAGCUGUUAACCUUUAAAUGUUGAUACCUCCCAUGUGAACAGUAAUUAAGCAGACAUGAUAGAUCAACUUCAGUAAGUAUUUAACUGGAUUAUUUGCAUGCUCCCAUGUCUAUUACUAUAUUUCUCCCAUCUCAUUCAACAUUUGGUAAACACACAUUAGGUACCUGCUAUAAGUAAUUCAAUAUGUUGGUUGCUAAGUUUUUUUAACUGAGCAAUGUGAGAAUGGAAUAAAAUUCAUACAUACAGUGUCCUGCCUUUGUCACUCAGUAGACAUGAAACUUUGUGCAAGUUGUUUAAUCACUUCUGGGCCACAGUUUCCUCAUUUAUAAUACAGGAAUGUCAACAAAUCCCAUCUCACAGGAUUACUCAGAAAAAUUCAUGUUUGUAUAGAAAGCACUCAAAUGUUAGCUUUUAUUAAUAUUGUUAAAAAUUGUGAAAAUUGCUAGAAAACUACAAUAUAGUAUGACUAAUUGAUUUAAUUCAAAUAGAUACCAAACUCUUAUAGAACUGUAAAGAAGGGCUUAACACUAUUUUAGAGUAAGAUUUACUGGGAAAAGUAAUUUUUGAGCUGACCACUGAAGAAAGAAUAGAAAUUAACCUGAGUGGUGGAGCAGAAGAAGGGCAGUACAGGAAAAGAACAGCAUAUGUUACAAGAUAGAUGUGCAAGAGCAUAUCACGUUUUUAUAAUUGCAAGCCAUUUUUGCAUAGCUGGAACAACAUUUUCUGGGGGAAAGCUUCUGAAAAUGGUCCUAAAAAAUAUUUCUCAGAGCCAGACAAUGAAGAACUCCAGGUUAUGUUUCUUGACCACAGUUUUCAUUGUUUUACCUAUAAAUAUACAAUACAAUUUAGCUCUUCUAAAAAACAAUGCAUAUGGUAUUGUGGGAGAUGGAUAUCAAAGAAUAGAAGGAUUAAUAUAAUCAUGCAGAGAGCCAUACAAUAAAGAACAAUUCCAGGUUAUGUUUCUUGACCACAGUUUUCAUUGCUUUAACUAUAAAUAUACAAUAUAAUUUAGCUCUUCUAAAAAAGAAUGUAUAUGGUAUUAUGGAAAAUGGAUAUAAAAAAUUAAAGAAUUAAUGUAAUCAUGCAGUAUUAGAUGUGAUCCUAUGGUACUAGAAAACAAUUCACUGGAGGGAAAGAAAAUACAGGGUAGAUAUUUAAUAAAUAGGAUCAACAGCAGGGUUACUUAUGGUAAACACUGAUUUUUCAGAAAAUAGCAAAACAACAGUUUAUUUUUAUGACCCCCACAGUAACCCAAAAGCAAGAAGGGAACUAGAAGAGACUGGCAUCAUGUCAAGUAUGGAAAAAAAUAAGUGUCAAGAAGAAGGAAGACAGUGACUAUUCAAUAUUGUGGGUGUCAAUGAAAAAGGAUAGCAUCAAUUUAAAUCUGGUCCACAGAAUUUUGAGGGUAUGCUGUAUUAAUAACCUUUGGUAGAGCAUUCCAGUGCUCCAACAUACAUAUGAUCUAUGAUCAUAUGUAAUUCAUGAUCUAAUGCUCUGAUAUUUAGAUAGUAACCAAACUCAUAUUUUAUAACAUUUAAGCACAAAUAAUAUGUGAAGACCUGACAAUGUGACUAUAAAUAGUAUUAAAAUAAAUCAGCCAAAACAAAGCAGCUAUUCAGAGCAAGAAAGUGACAGUAUCUUCUGGAGGCAAAUUUGAACAAAUAAAUAUUUAAGUGACAGAGAACUCUGUGUAUGUGUGUGUGUGUGUGUGUGUGUGUGUGUGUGUGUGUAAAAUCCAGGAAGACUAGGCUAUCAUCAAUAGAAUGAGAUUCUCAAGACCAUAAAUAGAAAUUGGGUUCAAGAUGAUGCAUAAGAGACUGACACUUCUAUUUGAGGAAAGUAAAAGUGGACCAAGAUUAGAAAGACGUGUGUGUGUGUGUGUGUGUGUGUGUGUGUGUGUGUGUAGCAUCGAAGGUGACUAGAUCUCUAUGUUUUCCUUAAAAAUAAAGAUAAAAGUAAAUACCAAAAAGUUGUGGAGGCAGAGAAAUCACAAAAGAAGGAGUUCAGAAAUUAAUGAUGAUGGCAGUGUUUGAAAAUAGCUUAUCUGAGUGAAUCUAAGAAAACAUUGAUCAGAAACAAAUAAACAUAUAUCCAGUUGGUUUCUAAAAUUUCAGGGAUACCUCAAAAGGCGUAAAAUGAGAUUGGUUUCAAUUAGCUUGUUAGUUAACUGUUAAUUUUUUUUCAGGAAUUUUUUUUGGGGGUGGAAUAGUGUGCAGAGGAAAAAGGGGAAUGUAAAUUUCACCAAUUCAGCAAUUGGAAUUUAUAGGGAUCAUAUGUCAGACAGAAGAAAACGAAUGAUUAGAAUCUUUUCAAGAACAUCAUGAUGUCAUGAAUCUUUGGUCUUGGAAAAGAAUUGAUGGUAAGAAAUAGCUGAUAUCAUGAGAUAAAAAUAAUUUGGUUACAAGACUAAGGAUCUUAAUGAGGAUAAAAAUCAACUUGUUCUCAAAAUGAAAUGAAAGAAGUUUUGUAGGUGGAACAUUUGAGUAUACAUUUUCAGAAAUGAAUCAGUCUGAAAAAAUGGCCCAGUCUUUGAAACAUUCAUGUGAAUAAGAUAAUCUAUGGCAAUAGAGGAUGAAAUUUACUGUAACAAAAUGAUAUAUUAACUUUAUUUAUAUUAUUAUUCUUAUUAUUUUUUAUUUUUAAUUUCAUGAGUAGAUGUGCAGGUUUGUUACAUAGGUAAACUUGUAUUGUGGGUGUUUAACAGGUGAUUUAAUCACCCACCCUUGUAGUCUGGUACCCAUUAGCUACUUUUCUUGAACCUCUUCUUCCUUUGACUCUCCAACCUCUGAUAAAUAAGCAACAAAGAAAACGAGGUGGUACUUUCAUCAAGAAAGCAAAAUUUCCCAGAAAUCUGUAGCAGAUAUUUACUAUCAACAACUCUGUCUCCUGACUAGACUGAACUGCAAAGGAGGCUGGAAAAUGCAGUUUAUCCACUGGGCAUAAAGUUAACCUAGACAAAAUGAAAACUUUGCUUAUGAGGAAACAGAAGAGACUAGAUAUUGAGUAGGCUACCACAGGGUCAGCCACAAUGAUAGAGCAUGUGGUCUCAUACUAAAUAAAAGAAAGAACGAUACAUAAAUUAUUCUCUGUAUUUAUUGAAGUACAAAUUCAUUUAAAAGUUUUGUGACUGUCAAGUGGUUAAUAAGCAAUAUUGAAUGGUAAUUAGGUACAUUCAUAUUAAUGCACUACUUACAAUUAUAAUCUUCUGAACAAUGUGUUGUCUUUGUAAAAUGAAAUUUAGAUAUGUGUGCUUAUUGUAUUUGAAGCUUCUAAUUUUAAGGUUCCGAAUUUCUGUAAAUACCUUUAAUUUAUAUUGUUUGUCUUUAAAUACCCAUUUUUAGUGUGUUCUAUUAUCACUGUAAGUGUUAAUAUGUACAAAGAAAUGUUCCUGCAUUUCUAAAUAUAUUUCAGUGAUAGGCAUGGUAUUGACAAUCAGAGGAAUUACUGUGUAUUAACCUAAGCAAACGUUUGCAGUGAACAAUUGUCAGGUUUAGUAAAUAGAGACAGAUGGUGGCUGUAUAAAAUUUCUUUCUAACCUGUCAUAGUGGGACACGUUACAAUGAAAGUAGACCUUAGACCCCAGAAUGGAUUCUGAUAAAUAUCCAAAUGUUUAUUACCAAGUAUAUAUUAAAAGAUCACAUACAUAAUUCAUAGUGUUGGUGUUUAUUUAAGGCACUUUUACAAGAACUUUGAAAUUCUCUGUUUAAGGCAGAUAAAAUUAUAAAUUGAUAGAAGGACCAGCCAUGUUUCUACUUGGCUCAGGUAUCACACUAUUUGAUGAAGAAAAAGAAGAAAGAGAAAAAAAAAGCGUAUGCAUAAUGUACGAAUAUACUAUGCAGUCUUUUUGGACAACCAUAUAUCCUGAACAUCACUUAUUCCCCCCAAAUGAAACAUUUUAAUAUUUCUAAUGUUAAGUAUGAGCCUUCUGUUGCAUAUUUACUUAACGAUGUAUAAAGAGUUUGUAUAAGAUUUCUGAAGUAUGAAUCCCCAAUCAAGGCCCUUCAAAUGCUAAUUGUCUACCUCCAAAUUGUGUAUUCUUAAUUAGGGUCCCAAAAUGUAACAUAAUCCCUCAGGCACAGGUUAAAAUUAAUUCAUACACACAUGUACACUGCUCUAUGUACUGAGAUUUUUUAAAUGUCAGACACAAUCUGUAAAUACAUUUGUCAAAAUGGUGAAGUUUGCGUUUAUACUGCACAGCAGCUAGGGAUUGGAUGGAGGACAAAGGCAAUGGUUAGAGGGCUUUUGCAUUACCAACAGGGCCAGCUGAGCUUAAGACUACCUGAAGAUGAAAACAAAAUGUUUGCAGUAAUUAGCAGCAAACACAUUGUCCAAAUGGCCAACUGAUAAUCUUGAGAUACCACUGUGGCUCUGAGAACCCUCUUACGUUCAUACCUAGGACUUUUAGGGUAUUUCAUUUGCUACUUGAAGUCUAAAGUGCCAUAAAUUGGCUAUCAGAUGCUUCCCUCCUCAUCUUUCAAGGCCCAUUGGACUUAUCAGGGAUAUUUUGUAACUUUUGAUUUUACCCUAUGGCCAUUUGCAUGUUUCACGUGAUUCCUAGGAUUUCAGUGUGCCACUGUAUUUUGCAAAAAAAUAAUGAUAAUAAUUAUUGUAGAGUAUAAUGAAGCAUGUAUUCAUAUAAAAAUUUACAACUGUGUCACAUUUUGUAUUUUGGAGUCAAUGUAACAUUUUCUAGUUAUACUUGAAUGCCAAGACAUUACCAAUUGGAGCUCACUAUAUUAAUAAAUAUAAACUAGAAAUACCAGAAUUUAAAUGUAACAUGAACGUUCAAAAAGAAAACAAUA